rnacentral:rRNA from 1 species
GACGAACGCUGGCGGCGUGCCUAAUACAUGCAAGUCGAGCGAGUCUGCCUUGAAGAUCGGAGUGCUUGCACUCUGUGAAACAAGAUACAGGCUAGCGGCGGACGGGUGAGUAACACGUGGGUAACCUGCCCAAGAGAUCGGGAUAACACCUGGAAACAGAUUCUAAUACCGGAUAACAACAGAUGAUGCCUAUCAACUGUUUAAAAGAUGGUUCUGCUAUCACUCUUGGAUGGACCUGCGGUGCAUUAGCUAGUUGGUAGGGUAACGGCCUACCAAGGCGAUGAUGCAUAGCCGAGGUGAGAGCGUGAUCGGCCACAUUGGGACUGAGACACGGCCCAAACUCCUACGGGAGGCAGCAGUAGGGAAUCUUCCACAAUGGACGGAAGUCUGAUGGAGCAACGCCGCGUGAGUGAAGAAGGGUUUCGGCUCGUAAAGCUCUGUUGUUGGUGAAGAAGGACAGGGGUAGUAACUGACCUUUGUUUGACGGUAAUCAAUUAGAAAGUCACGGCUAACUACGUG